GAUGAACGCUGGCGGCGUGCCUAAUACAUGCAAGUCGAGCGAACGGACGAGAAGCUUGCUUUUCUGAUGUUAGCGGCGGACGGGUGAGUAACACGUGGAUAACCUACCUAUAAGACUGGGAUAACUUCGGGAAACCGGAGCUAAUACCGGAUAAUAUUUUGAACCGCAUGGUUCAAAAGUGAAAGACGGUCUUGCUGUCACUUAUAGAUGGAUCCGCGCUGCAUUAGCUAGUUGGUAAGGUAACGGCUUACCAAGGCAACGAUGCAUAGCCGACCUGAGAGGGGGGUCCGCCCAACCUGGACCUAAGCCAGGUCCCGACUCCUACGGGGAGGAGGCGUAGGGGAUCCUUCGCAAAUGGGCGAAACCCUACGGAGGCAAGGCGCGUGGGUUGUGGAAGUUUUCGGAUCGUAAAAACUUGUUAAUUGGGGAAAACAUUUUGGGAAGGAACUGGGCCCAACUUGACGGUACCUAAUCAAAAAGCCCCCGCCUAACUCGUG
rnacentral:rRNA from 1 species